rnacentral:rRNA from 1 species
UACGGAGGGUGCAAGCGUUGUCCGGAAUCACUGGGCGUAAAGGGCGCGUAGGCGGCCUGGUAAGUAGGGGGUGAAAUCCUGCGGCUUAACCGCAGGGCUGCCUUCUAAACUGUCAGGCUUGAGCACGGUAGAGGCAGAUGGAAUUCCCGGUGUAGCGGUGGAAUGCGUAGAGAUCGAGAAGAACAUCAGUGGCGAAGACGGUCUGCUGGGCCGUUGCUGACGCUGAGGCGCGACAGCGUGGGGAGCAAACAGG